UACAGAGGGUGCGAGCGUUGUCCGGAAUCACUGGGCGUAAAGGGCGCGUAGGUGGCGGGAUAAGCGUGUGGUGAAAGCCCGGGGCUCAACCCCGGGUCUGCCAUGCGGACUGUCUUGCUCGAGCGUAGUAGAGGCAGGUGGAAUUCCGGGUGUAGCGGUGAAAUGCGUAGAUAUCUGGAGGAACACCGGUGGCGAAGGCGGCAUUCUGGACCGAUAUUGACGCUGAGGAGCGAAAGCCAGGGGAGCAAACGGG
rnacentral:rRNA from 1 species